CCUGUCCGAGGGUCGGCUUAUAAACUAUCACGACGCCCAUAAAGUCGUGGCUUGGGUUUUGCCAGCUGGCAUGAUUUCCUUAUCAUUUCGGUGGUGAGGUGUCAGAUCUAUGGCUUUUCCCUAAUGUGUCCGGGCACCCACAUAUAUAUGUGGUGGCGGAGUCGUGGCUCAAUGGCAUACACGAAAAUGCGCGCUCCGUUACACAUGGUGAAGUGUCCGUUACUAUGGUUGCGCACCUGCGCUUCUAUUCCUGACCUCGGAUCAGACGUGAUUACCCGCUGAACUUAAUCAUAUCACUAAGCGGAGGAAAAGAAACUAACAAGGAUUCCCCCAGUAACUGCGAGUGAACAGGGAUAAGCCCAGCACCGAAGCCUGUGGCCAGUUGGUCACUAGGCAAUGUGGUGUUUAGGUA
rnacentral:rRNA from 1 species